GUCUAUUUGAAGAUAUAAAAAGUCUGGCCUGCCCACUGAUAAAUUUUAAAGGGCCGCGGUAAUUUGACCGUGCAAAGGUAGCAUAAUCGUUAGUUUUUUAAUUGAAAUCUUGUAUGAAUGGUUGAACAAAAGAAUAUCUGUCUCUAUAUCUUUUUUGAAUUUAACUUUUAAGUGAAAAGGCUUAAAUAUUUUAAAAAGACGAUAAGACCCUAUAAAGCUUGAUGAACUUUUUUAUUUAGUUUAAUUUUUAUAUAAAAAUUAAGUAAUUGAAAUUCAUUUUGUUGGGGCGACAAUAAUAUAAUGUUUAUUAACUGUUAAUGUUUAAGACAAAAAUAAUAAAUGAUUAAUGAAAUAUAAAUGAUCCUUUUUAAAGAUUAAAAGUUUAAGUUACUUUAGGGAUAACAGCGUUAUUUUUUUUGAGAGUCCAUAUCGAAAAAAAAGUUUGCGACCUCGAUGUUGAAUUAAAAUUUCUUUAUAAUUGUAGCAGUUAUAAAAGAAGGUCUGUUCGACCUUUAAAUUUUUACAUGAUUUGAGUUCAAACCGGCGUGAG
rnacentral:rRNA from 1 species